rnacentral:rRNA from 1 species
UACGGAGGGAGCUAGCGUUGUUCGGAAUUACUGGGCGUAAAGCGCACGUAGGCGGCUUUGUAAGUUAGAGGUGAAAGCCCAGGGCUCAACCCCGGAAUUGCCUUUAAGACUGCAUCGCUUGAAUCCAGGAGAGGUGAGUGGAAUUCCGAGUGUAGAGGUGAAAUUCGUAGAUAUUCGGAAGAACACCAGUGGCGAAGGCGGCUCACUGGACUGGUAUUGACGCUGAGGUGCGAAAGCGUGGGGAGCAAACAGG